AACUGAUACUACCUGCGGGAACCUGCGGAAGGAUCAUUAUAGAGUUUUUAACUCCCAAACCCAUGUGAACUUACCUUUGUUGCCUCGGCGGAGCCUACCCGGUACCUACCCUGUAGCGCCCCGCCGGUGGACUUCUAAACUAUUGUUAUUUUAAUGAUAUCUGAGAGUCUUAUUUUAAUAAGUCAAAACUUUCAACAACGGAUCUCU
rnacentral:misc_RNA from 1 species